UACGUAGGGUGCAAGCGUUGUCCGGAAUUAUUGGGCGUAAAGAGCUCGUAGGCGGUCUGUUACGUCGGCUGUGAAAACCUAGGGCUCAACCCUGGGCCUGCAGCCGAUACUGGCAGACUAGAAUUCGGUAGGGGAGACUGGAAUUCCUGGUGUAGCGGUGAAAUGCGCAGAUAUCAGGAGGAACACCGGUGGCGAAGGCGGGUCUCUGGGCCGAUAUUGACGCUGAGGAGCGAAAGCGUGGGGAGCGAACAGG
rnacentral:rRNA from 1 species